rnacentral:lncRNA from 1 species
AGGAAGAUAAAAAGAAAAGUUCUUCUUCUCUUCAUGAUGAUUUGGUUCAGAUCCCUUCAGAUCUGUGCAAAAGAGUUCGUGCAGCCUUCAUCCUCUUUGAGUUCUGGAAGAGGAUUUAGAUCCAAAGCUGAAGAGCGAGAUCUGUAAGGUGCUAGCAUACUGGUAGACUUGAUGCUUUGAUCAAAUAUUUCUGUGUGGAUACCAGCA